AUCAUUGUUUUGGAUCAUAAGCAUGAUGAGUGGGUUUUCACGCUAUUGCGUGAGAUGUACCUCACUCAAACCUUGGCACUAUGUUGUCACAGUACCUGUCUGACG